UACAGAGGGGGCAAGCGUUGUUCGGAAUUACUGGGCGUAAAGGGCGCGUAGGCGGCCUGUUAAGUCGGACGUGAAAUCCCUCGGCUCAACCGGGGAACUGCGUCCGAUACUGGCGGGCUUGAAUUCGGGAGAGGGAUGUGGAAUUCCAGGCGUAGCGGUGAAAUGCGUAGAUAUCUGGAGGAACACCGGUGGCGAAGGCGGCAUCCUGGACCGACAUUGACGCUGAGGCGCGAAAGCCAGGGGAGCAAACGGG
rnacentral:rRNA from 1 species